rnacentral:rRNA from 1 species
AUCUAUAGCCAUACCACUCUGAAUGCCCCCAGUCUUAUCUGAUCUCAGAAGAUAAGCAGGGUUAGGCCUAGGGGGCUGCUUAAUACUUAGAUGAGAGAAUAAACAAGUAAGUGUGUAUA